AUCCUUUUUGGUUCAUAAACCUGAUGAUUGGGUUGUUAUGCUGAUGUGUGAGAUGUGCAUUCUUCUAAACCUUGUUACAACAUCAGUACAUUAUCCAUCUGUUG